rnacentral:lncRNA from 1 species
GUCAUUGGAUGUUUUUAGGCUCAGAGUCAUGAGGAUGUAAGGGAGCAAGGAAGUUUCCCUGAUUAUAGUUCACCUGAGUUUCUGGGGGUACAAUGCCCAUGUCAUUAGGUCCAAUUUCCUGUCCCUCUGUCUCUCUCUGUAUUUCUUCUCUCUUCUCUUUCUGCCUCUGUCUCUCUCUCAUUUUCACAUACAUACUUUAAUAAUCAAGUACUGAGCUUUCCCAUUCGUGUUUAUUAAAUAGCUACAAUGUUCCAGGUUCUGUGCUAAACCACUAUGGAGCAGAACACAAACCAACCCUAUUCUCAAGAAGCUUAAAAUAGGAGGAAGGGAAAAGGGCAAGAACACCAUUAGCUCUGAGAGAGAAGAGCAAGGUAAGGGCAAAGGAGGAGUCCAAGAAAAGUGAAAUAAGCUGAAUCAGCAAGAAUAUUAUAUUUUGGACAGGAAAGAAAAUCAGGGAAGACUUUGUGGAGGAAGUGACAUUUGAGCUGGAUCUUAAAAGAAAAGAAUGUCACCAGGAAGGAAUGGUAAGAGUGAGGGUUGUAGGAGCAGACCUAGAGAAGAGCAUGAGCAAAACUACAGGAGAGUGUAUUAGGUGGUUUCUUUUGGGGUAAUUUAUGGUAGUUGGAGGUGCUGGGCAAACACACUGAGUAAUAAGGCAAUGGGAAGACAGAAUUCUUUCUUCCUUCUCCUCCCCCCACCAACUUCUGCUGUCUUUUUCAGUUGGAAUCUAGCUGGAAUCAGAAUGGGUCACAUUCUUCUCUGGAAUUUUCCUUGAUGGACAGAUCUUCAAGUUUCCAUUCAUUGCAUCUGCUUUUCCAGGUUAUCUGCAGCAUUAAUCUCUUACAAGAGAUCAAGUCUGAGGAUCUUGACUGUGAAGAUGGACAUAAAUUAAGAACUGACACUUCUCUUUGUGGAAUGUUAAUAGUAUAUCAUCAACAUGAAGCAAGAACCUUCUCUAUUCUGUUUUUCUUAUUGCGGAUAACCAGCUCAUUUUAGACUUUUACUUUGCUGUCACUAUCUUUAUUUUGUUUUCUAAUUCUUAGUUUCCAUCUCAGAACCAACAUGACAUUGUUUCUAAGGCAGAAGGGCAGUAAAAGCUAUAGCAUGGGGAUUAAGUGACUUGCCCAGGGUCAUACACCUAGGAAGUAUAUUCAAAGGUCACAUUUGAACCCAAGACCUAGGCCUGGUUCUCAAUCCAAUGAACCAUGUAUCUGUCCUCUACUUUCUCCACUUUUAUAGUUUUAUGCUUAUUAGAAUCAUUUGUUCAUCUUUGAUCAUAUAUGCCUUCUUCCAUCUUUUGUUCCUAUUGUGGGUGAUAGUUUGUAGCAGGGACUUGCCUCAAGAAUGGAAGACUCAAACUCCAUUCAAUCCAGAAGUAAGAAAAGAAUUUUAUUUGAACAAGAGGUAGUAUAAUAGCCCAAGAGUUGGUAGAAUAGUAUGAGGACUAAUUGGGUAGCCCUAGGG